UUUUUUUGUUUUUUUUGUUUUGCUGGUAGGGAGGGGUGAGGGUGCAGGGACUAGACUGGAGUCACAACAAAACAGUCCACCUCCAGUUUUCUCCUUUCAGCCCCCCUUCUCAUUUCUGAACAUGCAUUCCUGUCUCAGGGUUCUAUACCUGCUGCUCCCUCUGCAUGCCACACCCCUCCCUCAGGCCUGGCUGGUUCCUUCCAAAGUUAAAUGUCACCUCCUCCAAGGUUCCCCCCACCCAUCCAGCCUAAUUUAGCCCCAGACACUCUCUAUCACAGGCCUGUUUUAUUUCCAUGACAGCGCUUAUCACCACUGGACAUAUUCUUACCCUUUUGUUUGCUAGUUUAUUUCUUGUCUGCCUCCCUCCAGAGCAUAUCAAGUGCAGGAGGGAAGGAACCUCCUCUGCUCCUUCCCCAUAGAAUCUGCAGCUACUAAAACAGGAGCUCCGAUAUCCCUUGAAAUUACUGAGCAUGAUGUACCCAUGGAAAAUUAAAAUUGGAGCCACCCCUACAGAGGCUUAUAGUUAUUCCAGACCCCAGUGCAGGUCAACCAGGCCUUCUUGGAACCAGCUCAACCGACCUGCUUCUGAGGGUCCCUACCCCAUUCUUCUCUCCUCUCUCUAAAUCACAACCAACCCUGAAGCCUGCAUCCUUCUCAUCCUCACCCAAACCCAUGCUUCUCAGGCCAGGCUGUCCUCUGCAUUUGCAAGAGCACUCUUAGGGCAGGCUCACAUCCUGCCACCUUUGCUGCCCCUGGCGUCUACCGAGCUCAGGGCCUGGCGCCAGGCCCUUGACUGGCAAUGGGUGAUGAAUUGCACUGUGUGGGGGUUAUGGUGUCAGCCCAGGUCGGAAGGGCCCGCUGCACUCUGGAGCUACCAACCCUGUAAGUGCCUGCUGUGUCCCCCUUCCUUCUGGCCCUGGGAUCCACCUUAAGCAUGAGGUCAGGAGGGCACUGGCUUUCUUCUGGUUCACUAAGGGGUCAGCUCAGGCCUGGGCAGCUACUUCCCUGGCUCACCCC
rnacentral:lncRNA from 1 species